AGACAGGGUCUUGCUCUGUCACCUAGGCUGGAGUGCAGCAGCAUGAUCUCAGCUCACUACAAUAUCUGCCUCCCAGGUUCAAGCAAUUCUCACGCCUCAGCCUUCUGAAUAGCUGGGAUUACAGAGAACUGUCUAAUCCCAUGGGUGAUACAAGAAGGAACUGAGCGUGCGUGGUCUAGCCGCUGGUGGUUUCCCUGACCUUGAAAGCUAACUGGUCUCAGAAUGCAAAGAUGGGCUCUGCCCCAACAAGGCAGAGACCCGCUGUUCUCUCCAACCAGGGAGAAAUAUUACAGUGUCUGAUUGGAGAAAAAGUCAACCUUCUUCUCUAUAUCAGUUUAUUCACUGAUAAAGUGGAUGUUUUUCUCUUCCUCUGACUCCCAUUUCUUAUUUCUCAAUUUGUUCCAAAGUGAAGAGGGGAAUAAGAAGUUACCUGUUGGUGUCCUUAAACCCCUCACGUAUCAUAAUACAGCAAUAAAUUGUAACUGUCCAUCUCUGUGA